CUUGGUUGAUUCUACUAGUAGUCAUAUGCUUGUCUCAAAGAUUAAGCCAUGCAUGUCUAAGUAUGAACUAAUUCAGACUGUGAAACUGUGGAUGGCUUAUCAAAUCAAUUAUAGAUUUUUUGAUGGUAUCAUACUAUUCAGAUAAUCGUAGUAAUUCUAGAUCUAAUACGUGAACCAAGUCUCGACUCUUUGGAAGGGAUGCAUUUUUUAGAUAAAAGGUCGGCGCGGGCUUGCCCGCUUCUCUGGUGCUGGCGAUGCUUCAUUCAAAAUUCUGCCCUAUCAACUUUUGAUGGUAGGAUAGAGGCCUACCAUGGUGGUGACGGGUGAUGGGGAAUUAGGGUUUGGUUCUGGAGAGGGAGCCCGAGAAACGGCUACCACAUCCAAGGAAGGAAGCAGGUGCGCAAAUUAGCCAAUGCUGAAAUGGGGAGGUAGAGGUAAUAAAUAACAAUACUAGGCUCAUCGAGUCUGGUAAUUGGAAUGAGUACAAUCUAAAUCCCUUAACAAGGAUCCAUUGGAGGGCAAGUCUGGUGCCAGCAGCUUGGUAAUUCCAGCUCCAAUAGCAUAUAUUUAAGUUGUUGCAGUUAAAAAGCUCGUAGUUGGAUCUUGGGUCGUAAAGGUCGGUCCGCCCACUUGGUGUGCACCUACCCUUCCAUCCCUUUUGUUGGUAGGGUGCUCCUAGCCUUAAUUGGUUGGGUCGUGGCUCUAGCGUUGUUACUUUGAAAAAAUUAGAGUUCUCAAAGCAAGCUUAUGCUCUGAAUACAUUAGCAUGGAAUAACAUGAUAGGAGUCUGGUCCUAUUGUGUUGGCCUUCGGGACUAGAGUAAUGAUUAAUGGAGAUUGUCGGGGGCAUUCGUAUUUCAUUGUCAGAGGUGAAAUUCUUGGAUUUACGAAAGAUGGACCACUACAAAAUCAUUUUCCAAGGAUGUUUUCAUUAAUCAAGACAAAAGUUGGGGGCUCGAAGACGAUCAGGUACCAUCCUAGUCUCAACCAUAAACGAUGUUGACUAGGGAUCGGUGAAUGUUGCUCUAAGGACUCCACCAGCACUUUCUGAGAAAUCAGAGUGUUUGGGUUCUAGGGGAGCAUGGUCGCAAGGCUAAAACUUAAAGGAAUUGAUGGAAGGGCACCACCAAGAGUGGAGCUUGCGGCUUAAUUUGACUCAACACGGGGAAACUUACUAGGUCCAGAAAUAGUAAGGAUUGACAGAUUGAGAGCUCUUUCUUGAUUCGAUGGGUGGUGGUGCAUGGCCGUUCUUAGUUGGUCGAGCGAUUUGUCUGGUUAAUUCUAAUAAUGAAUGGAACCUCAGCCUACUAACUAGCUACAAGGAGGUUCCCCUUUGCGGCCAGAUUCUUAGAGGGACUAUGGCCGUUUAGGCCAUGGAAGUUUGAGGCAAUAACAUGUCUAUGAUGCCCUUAGGUGUUCUGGGUUGAACGCGUGCUACACUGAUGUAGCCAAUGAUUUUUUCUUCCCGGUUCGAGAGGAUCAGGAAAUCUUCUCAAAUUGCAUCAUGAUGGGGAUAGACCAUUGCAAUUAUUGGUCUUCAAUGAGGAAUUCCUAGUAAGCGUGUGUCAUCAACUCAUGUUGACUACGUCCCUGCCCUUUGUACACACCGCUCGUCGCUCCUACCGAUUGAAUGAUCCAGUGAAGUGUUCAGAUUGCGUCGACGAUGGUGAUUUGCUGUCGUCGAUGUCGUGAUAAGUUAAUUGAACCUUAUAAUUUAGAGGAAGGAGAAUUCGUAACAAGGUUACCGUAGGUGAACCUAUGGUAG
rnacentral:rRNA from 1 species